GUGCUUGUUUCAGCAGCAUUUAUACUAAAAUUGGAAUGACACAGAGAAGAUGAGCACGGCCCCAUGUAAGGAUGACAUGCAAAUUCGUGAAAGCAUUUCAUAUUUUU